CAACCAAUCAAGCCUCGGCUUGGUCUUGGGGUUUGCGGUCCCGCAUCUCCUAAACUCAGUGGCGGUGCGAUUUAAGCUCUGAGCGUAGUAAUUUUUCUCGCUAUAGGGUCUUGGUCGUUACUUGCCAGUAACCCCCAAUUUUUAUCA
rnacentral:misc_RNA from 1 species